GGUUCCCUCCGAAGUUUCCCUCAGGA
rnacentral:ncRNA from 4 species